ACUAGUCAUAUUCAAGAUGAUGUCUCAUGAUGCAUGUUAUUUGCAAAUAAUGUUGCAUUAGUAGAUGAAACUAGAAGAGUUAAUCAAAAGUUAGAGUUGUGGAGAAUGACUCUUGAAAUUAAAGGUUUUAGGCCAAGUAGAAGCAAAAUGAAAAAUAUACAUUGCGAGUUUGCUCCUGUAAAAGGGAUGGAGGUGAGUUUCAAUUGAAUGGAGUUUUGGUGCCAAAAUGCACCCAAUUCAAUUAUUUAGGUUCAUCAUCCAAAAGAAUGGACUAACACAUGAGAAUGUAACUCAUAGGAUCAAAUCACUAUGGAUGUAAUGGAGGAGUGCGACAGGUAUGCUAUGCAACAGUAGUAUCCCCAUUAAAGUGAAAGGUAAGUUCUAUAAA
rnacentral:misc_RNA from 1 species